rfam:Schistosoma curassoni strain Dakar, Senegal genome assembly, scaffold: SCTD_scaffold0009461
AUUCAGCUGACGAGUCCCGAUCAGGACAAAACGCGCGUCCUGGAU